AUACGUCAAAUCAUCAUGCCCCUUAUGUCCAGGGCAUUUCACACAUGCUACAAUGGUCGGUACAGUGGGUUGCGAUGCCGUGAGGUGGAGCUAAUCCCUGAAAGCCGGUCUCAGUUCGGAUCGGGGUCUGCAACUCGACMCNGUGAAGUCGGAGUCGCUAGUAAUCGCAGAUCAGCAACGCUGCGGUGAAUACGUUCCCGGGCCUUGUACACACCGCCNGUCACGUCAUGAAAGUCGGUAACACCCGAAGCCAGUGGCCCAACCCUUGUGGGGGGAGCUGUCGAAGGUGGAUCGGCGAUUGGACGANGUCGUA
rnacentral:rRNA from 1 species